CCUCCCUUCCUUCCUCCCUCACCUCUGCGACCUCCAUGUCCUCUAUUCCACCGGAGUGAGGGCGAUGGCGGUGGCUUGAGCCACACACCUUCCCCCUGCUCUCUCUUCCUCGCUGCGACCUCCAUGCAUCCGGAGAGGAGAGCAACAACGGCAACUUUCGGCAAGGUAGCUGGGGUCCUCAUGUGGAUCUCAACUUCUUCCUCUUUUUCCUCCCUCUAGACCAAGCUCUCCUCUACCUUCUCCUCGCCCUCGUCGUCCACCUCCUUCUACUCCUCAUCUGGAUUUGGAUCUAAGGGAUACGAUAAUGGCUAGGGUUUCGGUGAGCUCUCAGAUGCUGCAGCUUAAUAUUUCAGCUAUUUUUCCUUGUUGUUGGAACAAUACAUUCAAGAUGUUUCAACUUCAUCAUCACAAUCUCGGAGUUGUUAUCUAUUUUUGUUGUUGCAAUAUAUAUGUUCAUAGUGUUUCAACUGCUUCAACCCAUUGUUGCAGCAGUUCAUUCUAUGUUGUUGCAAUAACAUGAUCAUGGUGUUUCGAACAGCUUCAACCUGUUGUUGCAGUAACUUAUUCGGUGAUAUUGCAACAA